AGUGAACGCUGGCGGUAGGCCUAACACAUGCAAGUCGAACGGCAGCACAGUAAGAGCUUGCUCUUACGGGUGGCGAGUGGCGGACGGGUGAGGAAUACAUCGGAAUCUACUUUUUCGUGGGGGAUAACGUAGGUAAACUUACGCUAAUACCGCAUACGACCUACGGGUGAAAGCAGGGGAUCUUCGGACCUUGCUCGAUUGAAUGAGCCGAUGUCGGAUUAGCUAGUUGGCGGGGUAAAGGCCCACCAAGGCGACGAUCCGUAGCUGGUCUGAGAGGAUGAUCAGCCACAAUGGAACUGAGACUCGGUCCAGACUCCUACGGGAGGCAGCAGUGGGGAAUAUUGGACAAUGGGCGCAAGCCUGAUCCAGCCAUACCGCGUGGGUGAAGAAGGACUUCGGGUUGUAAAGCCCUUUUGUUGGGAAAGAAAAGCAGCAGGUUAAUACCCCGCUGUUCUGACGGUACCCAAAGAAUAAGCACCGGCUAACUUCGUG
rnacentral:rRNA from 1 species